rfam:Trichomalopsis sarcophagae strain Alberta scaffold2717, whole genome shotgun sequence.
CAAUCGGCCCUUUUCAGGGCCAACAAUAUUUUUCAACGAGGAUCA